UACGUAGGAGGCAAGCGUUGUCCGGAAUUACUGGGCGUAAAGCGCGUGUAGGUGGUGGGACAAGUCUGCUGUGAAAGCGCCUGGCUUAACCGGGCGAGGUCGGCGGAAACUGUUCGACUCGAGGACGGUAGAGGGGGGUGGAAUUCCCGGUGUAGUGGUGAAAUGCGUAGAGAUCGGGAGGAACACCUGUGGCGAAAGCGGCUCUCUGGAACGGUACUGACGCUGAGACGCGAAAGCGUGGGGAGCGAACAGG
rnacentral:rRNA from 1 species